rnacentral:rRNA from 1 species
UACGGGGGGGGCAAGCGUUGUUCGGAAUUACUGGGCGUAAAGGGCUCGUAGGCGCCAACUAAGUCAGACGUGAAAUCCCUCAGCUUAACUGGGGAACUGCGUCUGAUACUGGAUGGCUUGGAUUUGGGAGAGGGAUGCGGAAUUCCAGGUGUAGCGGUGAAAUGCGUAGAUAUCUGGAGGAACACCGGUGGCGAAGGCGGCAUCCUGGACCAAUAUUGACGCUGAGGAGCGAAAGCCAGGGGAGCAAACGGG